UUAAAAUCCUAUUCCUUCUCUCUACUUUCUCUCUCUAUUCCCCAAGACUCUAUUGAAGAUCAAUUAAAUGUCAAAACGGCUCCAAGAUUAAAAUUUAUCACCAUCAAUCUUCAUUAAUAGCUAUGCCAUGGAGUUCCUAGGAGGCCGAUUGAAGAAGACUUGGACUAUUUUCUCCAUGUAUUGGACAUACUACAAGAGGUGUAGCCUCAAGGAGAGUGGAAGAAGAUUUGGCUAAUGCGGUGGUAGUUCGUCCUCAACGAGACAAAGACCCUCCAUAAGGAAACCAACUUCCUCCUCAAGAACAAGCUCCAGUCAGUCUUCCAUCUAUGAUAUGUGGAGAUAUAAGGUCUACAUUUUUGAAUUUUCAUCAUGUUAUUAUCACCCAAUGACAAAAGGUAGCCACUCAAGCUCAAGUCAUGGUGUCUCAAGCAAAUAGAGAGGUCUGACAUCGUUUUCAACAAAAUGCUAGUACGACGACUUCCUAUUUGAGAGACUUCACUUUGAUGAACCUUCCUAUGUCGUUUGCGUCUAAUGUGAAUGAAACUCCUAAAGAUUUCAUUGAUGAGGUCUGCAAGGUUUCCAAUGCUAUGGGCUUAACUUUGAAUUAGAAGGCCGAUCUAUCUUCCCAUCAACUCAAGGAUGUAGCAUAAACAUGGUACACCAAUUUUAGAGACUAAAGGUCCUUGAGAACGAGUCAUAUUAGUUGGGAGGUUAUUAGCUGCUUUUUUUAUUGUUUAUUUUAUAGGUAAAAAAGGGAGGCCAAAGAGUUGGAAUUCAUCAACAUUCGCCAAUGAGGUAUGAGUGUGCAACAGUACUCCUCAAAAUUCACCAAAAUGUCCAUGUUUGAUCCUUCCUUGGUGUCUAAACCAAGAAAUAUGAUUAUUCACUUUGUUAUGGGAGUUUUUUAGGAUUUUUUUUAAGAGUCUCAUACGGAGAUGCUGAAUUAAAAGAUGGAUAUUUCUAGGUUAAUGGUUCAUGCUCAACAAGUUAAGGGGACUCGACUCAAGAGGAAAAAUAGGGAGUUUAAGAGGGCCGAAGGAUUAUGAAGGGGGUACUUUCAAGGGUAAGCUUUUGAUUCAAGACAAGCCUAGGAUCAUAAAAUGUUUUGCAACCAAGUUCCUUAAAACAUUCCAAAGAUGAUUAAGGAUAUGGUGUCUAGCCCUAAUUCCCAAAGUUUAGAAGUGGAAAUUCAACAAAUGAUAAACUACCUUGUUCCAAGUGUGGUAAGAAGCAUUGGGGUGAGUGCCUAGUUGGGAAACGAAAUAGCUUUUGUUGUGGAAAAGAGGUUUAUAAUUGUAAGGAUUGCCCUAAUGUGAGGAUUCAAUAGUAGAGGAGUGGUCAAUCUCAUCCUAGUUCUGAAGCUCCAAAGAGAAACUACUUUUAUGCUCUCCUCUCUAGGGUUGAACAAGAAGAAUCCCCCAUGUGGUCACCGAUAUGUUACAAAUCAUCUCUAUAAAUGUUUGUGAUUUACUUAAUCCCGGUGCUACAUUUUCAUGUGUAACUUCCCUAGUAGAUAUAAGUUUUUAUGUUCUACCAGAUAUUUUAUUUGAACCAUAUUUUGUUACAACCCUAGUCGGUAUCUCCAUUUUGUCUAAACAAGUAUUUAUGAAUUAUCCCAUAUAUAUUCCCAAUAUAGUAACAUGUGUGGAUUUUAUAGAA